rnacentral:tRNA from 1 species
UGACCUAUUGUGUAAUGGUAGCACAGCAGAUUCUGGUCCUGCUAGUCUAGGUUCGAAUCCUAGUAGGUCAA